GUAGGUGGCAAGCGUUUGUCCGGAAUUAUUGGGCGUAAAGCGCGCGCAGGCGGUUCUUUAAGUCUGAUGUGAAAGCCCACGGCUCAACCGUGGAGGGUCAUUGGAAACUGGAGAACUUGAGUACAGAAGAGGAAAGCGGAAUUCCACGUGUAGCGGUGAAAUGCGUAGAGAUGUGGAGGAACACCAGUGGCGAAGGCGGCUUUCUGGUCUGUAACUGACGCUGAGGCGCGAAAGCGUGGGGAGCAAACAGGAUUAGAUACCCUGGUAGUCCACGCCGUAAACGAUGAGUGCUAAGUGUUAGGGGGUUUCCGCCCCCCUUAGUGCUGCAGCUAACGCAUUAAGCACUCCGCCUGGGAGUACGGCCGCAAGGCUG
rnacentral:rRNA from 1 species